rnacentral:rRNA from 1 species
UACAACAUAGUGUUAAUGCAACAGAUUCCAUUAGAAAUCCAAAGUUAAAUGCGUUCAUGCUAGAGUAGUAUUGGAAUGGGUGACCGCCAUGGAAUUCCUAGAGUAGUAU